UUGUUAAAAUUUUCCCAAUUUUGGACAAAAUUGGACAGCCGGUCUCCCUUCCCUCUCGCCAUCUCUCACCCCGUGUCGCGUAGCCUUCCUCCCGACUGCACACAGCCAGCUUCCUCCUCAUCCUCUCCUCAUCCGCACCCGUAGCCUUCCUCUUCAUCUUCUUUCCAUCCCUCCUGACUGCACCCAGCAGCAGGCAGCAGCACAAAGGAUCGGGGCAUCUAGUCCGUGCCGUAUUGGAAUUUUCUCGAGAUUUUACUCGCUGUUUUGCAGAAAAUGUCUCGAGUUGAGCAGCGAUGGGAGCAUCUAGUCCGUGUCGUAUUGAGCAGGGAGACGAUGGGGGCUGAUGCGUAUGGCCGGCAUGCUACUGGAAUUGUUGGAAAUGUUCCUUCCUCACUUGCAAACAAUAGGGAUAUUGAUGAAAUUCUGAGAGUUGCUGAUAAAAUCCAAGACGAAGAUCCCAAUAUUUCCAGAAUUUUAUGCGAGCAUGCUUAAUCUCUGGCUCAGAGUCUGGAUCCCAAUAGUGAAGGAAGGGGAGUAUUACAGUUUAAGACUGGAUUGAUGUCUGUCAUUAAGGUAUAUUUUCGUAUGAAGGAAGAAAUUUUUUUUUUGGGGGGGGGGGGGAGGUGCGGGCUUAAGUUUGAAGCUGUUAGAUUUGUAUUUACUUUUCAUAACCCUUAUAUAUGUACUUAUCAUCUCUUUAUCAAAAAGAAUUUAUGUGCUUAUGUUUUGUAAUCAUAGAUAGAAGCCAGGACAUUGCUAACUUGCAAGAGUUCUACAAACUCUACAAACUGUGCAUAUGACAAUUCAUUUAAUUGUUAUACCUAACCUUUGCAUUUAGGAACAUAAAAGGGAAAUGGGGUGGAGGGUUUUCUUCUUCAAAUGGGUUGAGACUUUUGGUCUGAAAGUAUGAAAUACCUUCGAUGGGAAUCUUGAACAGGGUUUUGUCCUCUUUGUUUGGGCGAGUGAUAGUUGUGUAACGUUUGGGAAGGGGGAACACCCGAACAGGAGAAAGGUGCAUUUAAGGCUGUUCAAGAUCUUUAUGAUAUUGUGCAACAAGGGGGAAUGCCAAUAUUAUUUUACCUUCAAAAAAUUUAUCCAGGUAGUUUUUUGAUUCCUUUAAUUAGGAUCUUAUUCUUGUUUCUUUGUGCUUUAUGAUGUAGUUGAUGUGCUUAUGUGCACAAUUAAGUAUCCUAAGUUGGGAUUAAUAGUUUCUUCUUGUCACAGUCUGCUCAGGUGAUAUUUUAGAGUUUAUUGUUAGAUUUACAAGAGGUUGAAUUACUGAAAGAGUCAUCCUGGCCAGCUUUGUCUUUAGACUCUUCGGUUAUUGUGUUUCUUCCUUUCCCUGUUUCUCUCCCCCCCUCCCUUCUCUCCCUCCCUCCCUUUCGCUCUCCUUCUUUCCCUCCCUCUCGCAGAUACAUUUUUAUUGUGAGUUAGAUUUUAAUUCAUUAUUUUUCUUUCAUUGUUUAUUUUAUAUAUUUAUUAUACUUCCUAAUAUAUUUUAUAUAUUCAUGGGUUUGCCGCUAAAUAUCUAAGUUCUGUGAUCUGCAGUUCGUGGAAUGAUGUAUUAUACGAAAGCUCGUAUGCUUCAGACUUCUGUUUCAUUUUUCGUAUUUUGUCCUGCUGCUUGAUCCAUUUCUUUAUCUGUUAGAAGGAUCAGAUGUAGAGGGUGCAAUUUCCAGUAAUGACGCAACUGAUACUCGAGCGUUUGAAUUAUCUCCUGAAGCACGUGCUCAUGCUGACUUAAAGUUUACAUAUGUUGAAACAUGUCAAAUAUAUGGAAAACAGAAAGAAAGCCAAAAACUUGAGGCUG